rnacentral:rRNA from 1 species
UACGUAGGUGGCAAGCGUUGUCCGGAUUUACUGGGCGUAAAGGGAGCGUAGGCGGAUUUUUAAGUGAGAUGUGAAAUACCCGGGCUUAACUUGGGUGCUGCAUUUCAAACUGGAAGUCUAGAGUGCAGGAGAGGAGAAGGGAAUUCCUAGUGUAGCGGUGAAAUGCGUAGAGAUUAGGAAGAACACCAGUGGCGAAGGCGCUUCUCUGGACUGUAACUGACGCUGAGGCUCGAAAGCGUAGGGAGCAAACAGG